rnacentral:rRNA from 1 species
GAUGAACGCUGGCGGCGCGCCUAACACAUGCAAGUCGAACGAUUAAAGCACCUUCGGGUGUGUAUAAAGUGGCGAACGGCUGAGUAACACGUGGGCAACUUGCCCCUCUCAUUGGGUUAGCUACGGGAAACCGUGGAUAAUACCGAAUACUUCGUAUCUUCCGCAUGGAAGACUCGAGAAAGCCCCGGCGGUUUGGGAUGGGUCCGCGGCCUGUUAGCUUGCUUGUGGGGUAAUGGAAUACCAAGGCAAAGAUGGGUAGCUGGGUUGAGCGCUCGACCAGGCAGAAUGCGACUGAGACACGGACCAGACGCGUACGGGCGGCAGCAGGGGAGAGUCUUGCACAGUGGGGGAAAGCGUGAUGCAGCGACGCCGCGUGCGGGAUGAAGGCCUUCGGGUUGUAAACAGAUUUCAGCAGGGACGAGGCGAAAGUGACGGUACCUGCAGAAGAAGCCCCGGCUAACUACGUG